UUUUUGUAAAGAGGGAGAGUUUGUUGUUGGUGGUUGCGGUUAUUUCUCGCUGAUUUGCACCUGCUCUUUCUUUUCUGCGCAAUGUUCAUGUUUCUCUCUCUGAAAGCUCUUCACUUUCCCUCUAUAGAAUCUCUCCUCCUUCCUUCACUCUCCCUUCAAUCCUCUCUCUACCCAUUUUCACUACCCCUUUGCUCGCCCUGGAACUGCCCUUCCUAUGUUGUUUCCUUUUUCACAUUCAUUAGUUUUUAAUUUUUGGCCCUGUUUUUGCUGAUCUUGAUCCUGGUCUUUGAUCAGCUUUUCUGUUGAUCUGCUGAAAAAUUUUGCUCUUUUGGGUCGUUUCUGCGAUUUUUUUUAUUGGAAGCAGUUUAUGAGCUUGAAUUUGUGGAUUGAUCUGAUCAUUAGAUUGAAAGCGGAUAAGGGUGUCUGGGAAUUUUAAUUUAAGGUCAUUAUUCAAGUGAUUUGAGGGAGACUCAGAGGAAUUUUUUUGUGGCUGUGAUUUAAACGGGUUCCUUGAAGGUUGUAAUUUUAAGAUAUUGAAGAACAACUCAAGGUAUUAUCUAUUAGUGAUUGGAUAUUUGGCUCUGAAUUCAGAAGGGAUUUUUGAGAUUUAGUGUAUAGGAUUGUAAAAUUGAAGGUUAUUUGGUGGAUUAAUCGGCACAUUAGCUGGAAAGGUUGAAAGGGUUUCUUUAAGGAUUUAACAAAGAAGUUCUGACGGAUCCGUCUACUGAAAAUAGGGGUUGUGAUUGUCUGGCUGGUCUGGAGUGCAUAUUAAGCAUUAUCAGGGCCCUCAGAAUGGGGUCCUGCUUAUCUGCAGAAAGCAGGAGCCCUCUCCCUGGUUCGCCUUCGUCCCCUCAUCUGCCGAAUAUGAGAAGGAGGGGUUCAAGGAAGAGAUUAGGGUCGCGGAAUUCUUCCUUUGACUACCGGAAGGAAGAACCAUUGCAUAGGAUUCCAGGGAGGUUAUUCUUGAAUGGGUCCAGUGAUGUUGCUUCACUCUUUACUCAACAAGGCAAGAAAGGAACCAACCAGGACGCCAUGAUUGUUUGGGAGAAUUUUGGUUCAAGAACAGAUACAGUUUUCUGUGGUGUUUUUGACGGCCAUGGUCCCUAUGGUCAUAUGGUAGCAAAGAGAGUGCGGGACCAUCUUCCCUUAAAACUGUGUGCUCACUGGGAAGUUAGUAUAUCCAGUGAGGAUGUUCUCAGAGAGAUCAGUUUGAAUACUGCUGGAAGCAUGAACUCUGAAGAUACUACUUUUGUAUCAGCUGAUGAGGAAUCUAGGGCCUCUGUAGAUCUUGAGGAAACAGAAAAGCACCCCGAGAUCUUUCAGGCGCUUAAAGAGUCUUUUUUGAAGGCUUUCAAAGUGAUGGACAGGGAACUUAGAAUGCAUGCCAAUAUUGAUUGCUUCUGCAGUGGGACAACCGCUGUAACUUUGGUCAAGCAGGGUCCAUAUCUUGUCAUUGGAAAUGUUGGGGACUCCAGAGCUGUGUUGGGUACAAGGGACAAAGACAAUUCACUUACUGCAGUUCAGUUGACUGUUGAUCUCAAGCCAAAUCUUCCAGCGGAAGCGGAGAGAAUCCGAAAAUGCAAAGGACGUGUCUUUGCUCUUCAGGAUGAACCUGAGGUUGCCCGAGUUUGGCUGCCAAACAAUGACUCACCUGGCCUUGCCAUGGCACGGGCUUUUGGAGAUUUUUGCCUCAAGGAUUUUGGCCUGAUUUCUGUGCCUGAAAUAUCUUAUUGGCGCCUGUCAGAGAAGGAUGAAUUUAUUGUCUUGGCCACAGAUGGGAUUUGGGAUGUUCUAUCGAACAAAGAGGUGGUAGAUAUUGUAGCAUCUGCCCCAGCACGGUCCUCUGCCGCUCGAGCCUUGGUUGAGUCAGCAGUUCGAGCUUGGAGAUACAAAUACCCAACUUCGAAAGUUGAUGAUUGUGCUGUUGUUUGUCUCUUCCUUGAUUCUAACUCAAACAAUUUAUCUACUGCUUUCAAUGCCAAGCCCAAAGUGCAGCCAACUUCAAUGGACCAAAUUGACAAUGACAAUGAGAAAGACAAUAAUCUUGCUGUCUUGACCAGUCUCGACCGGUCUGGGACUGUGCGAACUGGCGAAGAAGUGCUCCCAGGAGUGAAUGAAGAUUCUUCAAAGCAGGAAGAAAUGAAUUCAGAAUUAGGAAUAGAUUGGUCUGCCCUUGAAGGAGUUUCUCGUGUCAAUACCCUUUUGAAUCUCCCAAGGUUUGUGCCUGGUGAGGAGGAUAAGAAGGCUGCUGGAGGUACAAAGGCUCGGAAGUGAGAAGGUCUGGUCUUAUUUUUCAGGUGCAGAAUUGCAGGCUUCUAUUAAAACGGCAUUCUGUCUAAUCCGCCCUGGAUUCUGGUCCAUUGAUUUAUUCAAAUAAUGAGAGGAAGGAAGGUCGAUUUCUGGACAAUCAAUUCAAGGCAGGGAAACUAAAGACUAAUUCAAUGGAGAAGAAGAUGAUAGAAGCCACCAGAGUUGCCUUAUCAUGUGAUGAGGCGGUGGAGUGGGAGCAAAGUGGAUAUCUUUUGCAAAAGCAAUUGACUCCUGCGUUGUGGUUGAAGCACAUCAUCAUUGUUAUCAUUAUUAUUAUUAAUGAGAAUGAAAAUGACAUGCCAGACUGACUGGGGAAGGCUAUAUAAACUUUUUUUCUAUUGGACUGUGAAACUUCCACAACUCUGCUCCACAUUAGCAAACUUUUCCUUGUAGAUUGUCAGGUGCCUACCAUGAACUAAUAUCAACAUUCAAGAAGAUAGGAUGGAUCAACAUUUGUGGUUCAAGAAUAAGGUCAUAGAUGGGGACAAGAGAAACGGGAAUUUUAGGGUUUAUUAGGUUGCUGUUUAUUCAAUGUAUAAUUGGCUUCUA